rnacentral:rRNA from 1 species
CCUACGGGGGGCAGCAGUGGGGAAUAUUGCGCAAUGGGAGAAAGCCUGACGCAGCGACGCCGCGUGAGGGAUGAAGGUCUUCGGAUCGUAAACCUCUGUCAGCAGGGAAGAACGGUCACUGUGCUAAUCAGCAGUGAAUUGACGGUACCUGCAAAGGAAGCACCGGCUAACUACGUGCCAGCAGCCGCGGUAAUACGUAGGGGGCGAGCGUUAUCCGGAUUCAUUGGGCGUAAAGCGCGCGUAGGCGGCCUGUUAGGUCGGGGGUCAAAUACCGGGGCUCAACCCCGGUCCGCCCCC